CCCACGGCUACCUGUGGAAGCUAGCAUACGCCCCAGCGAUUCCACCAAGAAUUCACUGGGUGUGGAGGAAGAAACAUCUUAACUUCAGGUACCGGGUGGACACAAAAUACCAUCAUUAACAUCAGCAAAGGCUGCUGAUUUCUCCAAAGGCACCUGUUUGCUACAUAAAAACA
rnacentral:lncRNA from 14 species